rnacentral:pre_miRNA from 1 species
UUUAUUUGACGCCAUUAAUUUUUUAGCACAUGUUUGACCGCUCGUCUUAUUAAAAAAAUUUAAAUAAUUAUUAAUUCUUUUUCUAUCAUUUAAUUCAUUGUUAAAUAUACUUUUAUGCAUACGUAUAGUUUUACAUAUUUCACAAAAGUUUUUUUUAAUAAGACGAGCGGUCAAACAUAUGCUAAAAAGUCAACGGUGUCAAAUAAA